UUCAAACAGAAGGAGGCACUGGCCAGCUGCAGGGGUGGGGGUGCGGCGGCCGCAAAAAUUGGAAGAGGCUACAAGUUACCAUCGUGCACAGGGCGUAAGGAGCAGCACACGGCUAUACGGUGCCAAGAAAUGUGGAGGAGAAAUGGGAAGUCAAAUGAAUGCCAGCAGCCAGACCGCCAUCUGCAGACUGGCAGGAAGAUAGGAGAGUGGAAGAGAUGCGGGUCCACGUGAAGGAUUUUUCAAUUAAGAGACUAAGAGCCAGGGAAAGAGCCGUCGUACUAGUAGCUGAAGCCUUUCAAGAAAAACUGCUGUGGUUUUUCAAAACAAUUAUGCGAGACAAAAUGUAACUGUGAGAAAACACAGUGUGUUCAUUAAACACCAGGGGAAAGGAAACCGUCUGAGAGGGUCUAGAGGAAACAGAGGAGCCAGCCUGCCCAGAGUCGAACCCCAGCUCCAUCCCUUGCCAUCUGCAGACGACUGAGUUCCCCCUUUAUCUGCAGAGGCAAUGACAGCUGGAACUCUCCUCAUGAGACUGACAUGAGGCCUCCAUGAAUUAAAACGCAUGAAGUACUUGGCACCCAGUAAAGCCUACGUAUUUCCAUUAUUUUAAUUAUUUGUGAGCCCUGGCCUCAGAGUUUCCAUAUCCAGUCCUUUCCACCUGGAGGACCCAUCCCUUUACUCUGCUCACGUAGUCCUGCGACUUCAGCCUUUUCCAGGCCCUGGGAAAGAGUGGAGCAUCUUGGGGCGGAGGGCUAGGAAAGCUGUCUCGGUGCUCCCAGACUGUGACUCCAAAGUUUUGACUAGAGCACCAGUUUCCAAACACAUGACGUGAUCAUUUAUCAACAUCCAAACACUGAAUUCACCAGACAAAGACUUAGAAAAUUGACACAUUCGUUUCAAUCAAAGCAAAUAAAUGAUAGGCUUGCCUUAUUAGGAUGCGGAA